AUCCUGGCUCAGGAUGAACGCUGGCGGCGUGCCUAAUACAUGCAAGUCGAGCGAACAGAUAAGGAGCUUGCUCCUUUGACGUUAGCGGCGGACGGGUGAGUAACACGUGGGUAACCUACCUAUAAGACUGGAAUAACUCCGGGAAACCGGGGCUAAUGCCGGAUAACAUGUUGAACCGCAUGGUUCUACAGUGAAAGACGGUCUUGCUGUCACUUAUAGAUGGACCCGCGCCGUAUUAGCUAGUUGGUGGGGUAACGGCCUACCAAGGCGACGAUACGUAGCCGACCUGAGAGGGUGAUCGGCCACACUGGAACUGAGACACGGUCCAGACUCCUACGGGAGGCAGCAGUAGGGAAUCUUCCGCAAUGGGCGAAAGCCUGACGGAGCAACGCCGCG
rnacentral:rRNA from 1 species